AGUGAACGCUGGCGGUAGGCCUAACACAUGCAAGUCGAACGGCAGCACAGGAGAGCUUGCUCUCUGGGUGGCAAGUGGCGGACGGGUGAGGAAUACAUCGGAAUCUACUCUUUCGUGGGGGAUAACGUAGGGAAACUUACGCUAAUACCGCAUACGACCUACGGGUGAAAGCAGGGGACCUUCGGGCCUUGCGCGGUUGAAUGAGCCGAUGUCGGAUUAGCUAGUUGGCGGGGUAAAGGCCCACCAAGGCGACGAUCCGUAGCUGGUCUGAGAGGAUGAUCAGCCACACUGGAACUGAGACACGGUCCAGACUCCUACGGGAGGCAGCAGUGGGGAAUAUUGGACAAUGGGCGCAAGCCUGAUCCAGCCAUACCGCGUGGGUGAAGAAGGCCUUCGGGUUGUAAAGCCCUUUUGUUGGGAAAGAAAUCCAGCUGGCUAAUACCCGGUUGGGAUGACGGUACCCAAAGAAUAAGCACCGGCUAACUUCGUGCCAGCCGCCGCGGUAA
rnacentral:rRNA from 1 species